UACGGGGGGAGCAAGCGUUGUUCGGAUUUACUGGGCGUAAAGGGCGCGUAGGCGGCCACCGCAAGUCGACUGUGAAAUCUCCGGGCUUAACCCGGAAAGGUCAGCCGAUACUGCGGGGCUAGAGUGCAGAAGGGGCAACUGGGAAUUCUCGGUGUAGCGGUGAAAUGCGUAGAUAUCGAGAGGAACACCUGCGGCGAAGGCGGGUUGCUGGGCUGACACUGACGCUGAUGUGCGAAAGCUAGGGGGAGCGAACAGG
rnacentral:rRNA from 1 species